GGAAAAAUUUAUGACACAAUUAUGAGAUACUGUACAUAGGGCCUGCUAUUACAUCCCUUAGCCUAAAUCUAGACUUUUAAUUUCAUUUAUUAUAAUUUUAUGAUGCUAUAGUAAAGAAAAACAUUGAAAACGAUGUUUAUAGACUUUUAUGGAAUGAAAACAGCCUAAUUACUAACUAGUACAUUAAGCCCCUAGAUAAGCUUUUGUAGAACACAGAGAUUAUGUAAUUAAGGAAACUGGAAUUUCUGGAAAAACAUAAGCAUAACAUUUAAUUAUUUGGUCUUUGUUCUUUUGAUCCAAAUAUCCAGAUCUGUUGCUUUUUUUUUGGAUCAAAGUAUUGCUAAUCUUAGAUGUAGCUUACUUGGUCACCCUUGUUAACAUCUGUUCUUUAUGAUUAUAAAAUGGUUAUCAGAAGCAAACUAAGUGCAUCAGAAGUAUAGUCCUAUGGGCUUUUGAAUUCAAAAGAAUGCUUCACUUUUCCUUCUAGCCUACUCUGACCCUCCCCCCCCUUAUAUAGGUACUCUAAUUUAAUUUCUUACAUACAUACAUGGUAACAUUUCUGAAAAAAUGAUGAUUUGGGAAGGGAAAGGAUCAUCAGGAAGCUGCAGUAAUUAAACAGUACCUCGCAACACUGAAUUAAAGUGUGCCGAGCAUUUCUACUCUGUUUUCUGCCUGUUAAACAUUCCCUGUCAUAGCCUCUCCACACAGAGCAAGGGGGUUAAUGGGGGGAUGAGGACACAUUUGUGAUACCUUAGCCAAUAAAGAAAUUAAAGAUAAAAAAAAUUAAAAAAAUAAGAAAAAGAAAAGAGGGUCAAUCUAAACAUAUUGGAUACUUUGUAAGAUAAAAAAUGGCAAUUCAACUCAGCGGGGGAAAAUAGAUGGAAGUACAGAGUUAAUAGCAAUUUGUAGAUUAAAAAAAUCAGACUGAAUUUCUGCUUAAACUUUAUGCUAAAAUUUCAGAUAAGUUAAAGACAAAUGUAAAAAAUGUAUUUGAAGAAAACAGGUGUGAAUCUACUUAUAACACUGGAAUUGGUGAUCUAAAAGUGAGGCAUUAAAUCUCAGGAAUGAGAAAAGAUGAAGCCAUUAGUAUAUACAAUUAAACCAUUAAAAAAUCUUCCCAAACUCAUGAACCUCAGCAUAAAAUCAAGUGAUCAGUUGGAAAAACAAUUUGUUACACAUCUGACAAAUGACUAACUCUUGUAAUUUAUGAGACUCAUGUAAGUAAAAAAGAGGAAGUACCCAAAAGAAAAAUGGUCAAAAGAAAGUGUUAAAAGGAUGGCUAGCCUUGCUUUGCAAACAUAUUUAAAGCAGACUUUUUAUUUCUAUAAUGUGGUUUUGCUCACACAUGUUAGAAAUUAGAGAAUUAUACCAGUUGAACACAAAAAUUACAUUGCUGAAUGUGGGAUGUUUUCCUAGGCAAGGGGAACCAGUAAUAGGGUUGGGGAGAUGGUGUUAUAACUUACAGGGGAAAGGAAAUAGCCCUUGUCAGUUUUGUGUGGCUCCCUACUAAUGGUGGCCCCCUGAAGAGCAGCCCCUCUGGGUCAGGUUCCACUUCUAUUGGUUGAGUAUCUCCUAGCUUUGUUUUGAUGUGUUUUUUUAUCCUUGUGGCAGCCUCCAGCCAAGUUAAUCCACCUGUCUGGGCGGUCCAGGUUAUCUUCCUAGGUACCAGUUAAUGUUUUUGUCACUGCUCUGGUGACAGAGUUGUAGUUUUCCAAUGGUUUGUUCCAAAUUUAUUUUCCCCUUAGCCCUGUUAAUUUUAGCCUGACAUUUUGCAGAAUGUGAAAAAAUUUUAAAGCAAACAUACCAUUAGAAUGUAUUUGAAUAAGCAUUAGAUCCAUAACCCACUCUAUCUUAUCUAGUCAGUUUCCUCCUUCUGUACAAAAAUUAGGGCAUCAAAAGCAUGUAAGAACCCCAAUUAAUUGGAAUUCUCAAAGAAUAGAUAAAGGAAUUUAUUUUGGCUAAUUGAAGUUUAACUUUUUAUUGAAGUUAAACUAAUUUUUUAAUUUGCAAUGUCUUAGGAAUUCUGAAUAUUCUCAUUGGACAAUAUUGUAUGGGAGACUGGACAGUACAUACCCUGAUUUGUGAUUUCAUUUGACUAAAAUAGCAAGAAGAUCUUAUUUUCUCGUGUUAGGUUUGAUCUUUUUCCCUUCUCUGUGUGUAUGUGGGAUUGACUGUGUUUGUAAUGGCAAGGUUGGAAACUAACCACUAUUGAUAAUUUUAGGAUUUAAUUGAUCCUAGUUAAUUGAUGCAACGUAUGCUUCUUUUAGUUGUCACUAAAUACAUAGAUUUUCAUUUUUAUCAGUGUUUGUAUAAAUUUGACCAUGUAUUAAUGUUUUUGAACUUAUUUCUGAGAAGUAGGCAGAAAUUUAGAAAAGAUUGAAUAAAAUAAAAGUAUUCAAGUAAUGUUGGUAUUUUGUCUCCUGUCAAAGGAUUUUUAUGGACUUUACUUUUAAAAUAUCAUCUUAGUAGUAAAGCUUAACAGAGUAGAUAUUUUUUGGAACCAGAACAUACUUACCUAUAAUGUAAUGUUUUCAGAAAACAUUUAGACUCUUUAUAAUUGUAUUUUUUUCCUUUACUUUUUUCGCAUGUGACCUUGCCUGUUUCCCACGAUCCUAUUUAGAUUUCUCUGUCUACUUUAUGCUUUGUAAUUAGUGAUUUAUAUUUCUUUCAAAUAAAUCCUGCAUCCAGAAAACCAGGAAAUGCCUAGCUGUGCACAGGGUUUUUGAAAGUGUAACUUUUUAUUGCCAAUUGUCUAUUUAUGCAGUAUAUUUGAUUUCACAUUAUUAUAAGAUAAAGCAGUAAAAACAUAAAUC